rnacentral:pre_miRNA from 1 species
AGUGGUAUAACCAGAUCAAAUGGUAAUUGUAUUCCUAGUUUUUUGAGGAAUCUCCAUACUGCUUUCCAGAAUGGUUGCACCCAUUUGCUGUUCCACCAGCAAU